UACGAAGGGGGCGAGCGUUGUUCGGAAUUACUGGGCGUAAAGGGCGCGCAGGCGGCUCUGAAAGUCAGAUGUGAAAGCCCCGGGCUUAACCUGGGAACUGCAUUUGUGACUGGCGGGCUAGAGUAUGGCAGAGGGGGGUAGAAUUCCACGUGUAGCAGUGAAAUGCGUAGAGAUGUGGAGGAAUACCGAUGGCGAAGGCAGCCCCCUGGGCCAAUACUGACGCUCAUGCACGAAAGCGUGGGGAGCAAACAGG
rnacentral:rRNA from 1 species